GAUGAACGCUGGCGGCGUGCCUAAUACAUGCAAGUCGAGCGAACAGACGAGGAGCUUGCUCCUCUGACGUUAGCGGCGGACGGGUGAGUAACACGUGGAUAACCUACCUAUAAGACUGGGAUAACUUCGGGAAACCGGAGCUAAUACCGGAUAAUAUAUUGAACCGCAUGGUUCAAUAGUGAAAGACGGUUUUGCUGUCACUUAUAGAUGGACCCGCGCCGCAUUAGCUAGUUGGUAAGGUAACGGCUUACCAAGGCAACGAUGCGUAGCCGACCUGAGAGGGGGAUCGGCCACACUGGAACUGAGACACGGUCCAGACUCCUACGGGAGGCAGCAGUAGGAAAUCUUCCGCAAUGGGCGAAAGCCUGACGGAGCAACGCGGCGUGAGUGAUGAAGGUCUUCGGAUCGUAAAACUCUGUUUUUAGGGAAGAACAAAUGUGUAAGUAACUAUGCACGUCUUGACGGUACCUAAUCAGAAAGCCACGGCGAACUACGU
rnacentral:rRNA from 1 species